AGAAUAUAAACACUAUUUCAAAAUACUUUUCGCAAAAUAUCAUCCUAUAAAUACUAUGACCAAACACUCACAAAUCACAAUCAUACACAGAGAAAAAUGAAGCCCCCCUCUAUAGUUUCCAUUCUUUCUUUUUCCCUCUUCUUUCUCUCUCAAAUAUCUCCAUCUCUUUCAGCUGAAAGGUGUCACCCAAAUGACAAAAAAGCCCUCCUAGAAUUCAAAAAAGCUCUAGGUAAUCCUGAUGAUUUGGGUAAUUGGAAUCCCAAAACUGAUUGCUGCAUUGACUGGUACGGACCUACUCUUGAAUGCGAUGAAAAAUCGAAUCGUAUUAAUCUCAUCGACUUCUCCAAAAUGGAUCUCUCUGGAUAUCUCUCUCCCGCCAUCGGAGAUCUCACAUACCUUACGAAAUUCAGUAUCCACAAUGUACGUAAUCUCACCGGUCCAAUUCCAUCAACAAUUGUCAAACUCACGAAUCUCAUUUUCUUCAGAAUUAGUGAAUCGGACAUUUCAGGACCAGUACCUGAAGUCCUUAGUCAAUUGAAAAGCUUAACGUACAUUAAUUUGUCGUAUAAUAAGCUUGUUGGAACUAUCCCAGCCUCGCUAUCACAACUUCCAUAUUUGGCAUUUUUACGAUUAGAUAGGAACAAAUUAACUGGACCAAUACCGGAGUCAUUUAGCAAAUUAGCUCCCAAUUUAACGUAUCUUUACCUUGGGCAUAACCAACUUACAGGGAUUGUACCGACUUCAUUUGCUGGGUGGAGUUUUGACACAAUUGAUUUGUCAAGGAACAUGCUUGAAGGGGAUAUUUCGUUUUUGUUUGGUAAAGAUAAGACUACGUAUGAAAUGUUAUUGGAUCGGAAUAAAUUUGAAUUCGAUAUGUCAAAAUUGACGUUUGGGAAGGGGUUAUGGAGGUUGGAUUUGAGUCAUAAUAAGAUUUAUGGGAGUAUACCGAAAAUGAUAUCGAAGAAUUAAAACCGUGGCAAAUUUUGAACGUGAGCUAUAAUAGACUUUGUGGAAAGAUUCCAAAGGGUGAGAAUAUGCAGAAAUUUGAGAUAUAUGAGUAUUUUCAUAAUAAAUGCUUGUGUGGUGCUCCGUUGCCGCCUUGUAAAUGACCAUCACUAACGUAAGAGCGGAUAAUAUAAGUAAUGCGUCUGUCUGUCUGUCUAUCUGUUUGUCUAUUUAUGUAUUUCAACUUCUCUUUGAAUGUUGAUGAAUAAUUGAGUGAGUAAACUUAAGGCUUUUAAGGCAUAAUAAUGUACUUUAAUUUAUGAAUUUUAGUUAUCCUUUUUUCUA